UUAUUUAAUUGUGAAUUUUCAGAAAGGACUGAAAAAUGUCUUUGAUGAGGCAAUUUUAGCUGCUUUGGAACCACCAAAACCACCAAAGAAAAGGAGGUGUUUCGUCUUGUAGAAUGAAUUAGUCGAAUCAGCACGACUUGCGGGAAUCGAAACGCACCUUGAGCCGCUCGAACGAACGUAACAGGAUCGAUUGCCAUUUGUGUUUGUCGCCCAGCUGUUUUGCGACGAAGCAAUAGAAACAUUCCUUAAAAUUAUGAGAAGAUUCCGUGAAGUAUAAAAGAAAAAACAGAGGCCUUGAACCUGGUAUUUUUUGCAGUCCGGCAGAGCUUCGUUUAGAGAUAGUUAGUUUUUGUCCAAAUAAUUACAUCAGAUUUUUCCCUAUAUGGGUUCUAUCCUAUCGGUAUAUUCCACUUUUAUAAUCUUUACAAACUUGUUACGAAAUAUUGUCAGUAUUGUGAACGAUUAAUACUUGAUUCGGAUGAUUGGACGAGUAAGACAGGGUACAAUAAUUAUUUAUUGUAGAAACUACAACGAUAGGCUUUCAAUUUAAGCCUAGAAUCGUUGCAAGAUCCAUAUGCAAGAGGCGAUUUUCGCUUGUAUAAAAAUAUAUCAGACUGUUUAAUAAGGAUCUUUUGAGAUUUUUAAUUUGAGUGUAGUACAUUUUUGAAAGCAUUUUCUCUUUUGCGAGGCUCACCGAGCUUCGAUAUGAGAGUAUUUUAUGAGUCAUAUGCAGACUAAUUGUUACAGUAAUUAAAGAAAUGCAACUCAGGAAAAAAAAUUAUUAAUGAGGAUCUAAUUAUGAAAUUUAUUGUAGAUAUUCUGCAACAUUUUCUUUUAGUUCGUUUAGGCAAUUUCAAAAUAUGUACGAAAUUAUUCGGGGGUGAACUCGUACUCAAUAAAUAGUUAAAAAAAUAAAAA